CCUACGGGAGGCAGCAGUGAGGAAUAUUGGUCAAUGGACGAGAGUCUGAACCAGCCAAGUCGCGUGAGGGAGGAAGGCACUGUGUGUUGUAAACUUCUUUUAUAAAGGAAUAAAACGAGGCACGUGUGCCUUUUUGCGUGUACUUUAUGAAAAAGGAUCGGCUAACUCCGUGCCAGCAGCCGCGGUAAUACGGAGGAUCCGAGCGUUAUCCGGAUUUAUUGGGUUUAAAGGGAGCGUAGGUGGGUUGUUAAGUCAGUUGUGAAAGUUUGCGGCUCAACCGUAAAAGUGCAAUUGAUACUGGCAGUCUUGAGUACAGUUGAGGUAGGCGGAAUUCGCGGUGUAGCGGUGAAAUGCUUAGAUAUCGCGCAGAACCCCGAUUGCGAAGGCAGCUUACUA
rnacentral:rRNA from 1 species